UACGAAGGGUGCAAACGUUGCUCGGAAUUAUUGGGCGUAAAGCGCACGUAGGCGGCAUCGCAAGUCGGAUGUGAAAUCUUAUGGCUUAACCAUAAAAGUGCAUCCGAAACUGCAGUGCUUGAGUACUUAAGAGGAUCGCGGAAUUCCCGGUGUAGAGGUGAAAUUCGUAGAUAUCGGGAGGAAUACCAGUGGCGAAGGCGGCGAUCUGGGAAGAUACUGACGCUGAGGUGCGAAAGCGUGGGGAGCAAACAGG
rnacentral:rRNA from 1 species